rnacentral:rRNA from 1 species
UACGUAGGGUGCGAGCGUUGUCCGGAAUUACUGGGCGUAAAGAGCUUGUAGGUGGUUUGUCGCGUUGUUCGUGAAAUCUCACGGCUUAACUGUGAGCGUGCGGGCGAUACGGGCAGACUAGAGUGCGGUAGGGGAGACUGGAAUUCCUGGUGUAGCGGUGAAAUGCGCAGAUAUCAGGAGGAACACCGGUGGCGAAGGCGGGUCUCUGGGCCGUAACUGACGCUGAGGAGCGAAAGCAUGGGGAGCGAACAGG